GGAGUCGCGUAAGGGUGCGUAACACGUGGGCAAUCUGCCGCGAAGACCGGAAUAACUUGCUGAAAGGCGAGCUAGUACUGGAUGUGGUUGCUAGACGGCAUCGUUUGGCAACCGAAGUCGGGGACCGUAAGGCCUGACGCUUCGCGAUGAGCCCGCGACCUAUCAGCUAGUUGGUGAGGUAACGGCUCACCAAGGCUAAGACGGGUAGCUGGUCUGAGAGGACGACCAGCCACACUGGAACUGAGACACGGUCCAGACACCUACGGGUGGCAGCAGUCGAGAAUUUUUCACAAUGGGCGAAAGCCUGAUGGAGCGGCGCCGCGUGGGGGAUGAAUGGCUUCGGCCCGUAAACCCCUGUCAUUCGCGAUCAACAUCUGCAGCUUAAUACGUUGCAGACUGAUAGUAGCGGAAGAGGAAGGGACGGCUAACUCUGUGCCAGCAGCCGCGGUAAUACAGAGGUCCCAAGCGUUGUUCGGAUUCACUGGGCGUAAAGGGUGCGUAGGCGGUCAGAUAAGUCUGUCGUGAAAUACCGGAGCUCAACUCCGGAAUGGCGUCGGAAACUAUUUGGCUAGAGGAUUGGAGGGGGGACUGGAAUUCUCGGUGUAGCAGUGAAAUGCGUAGAUAUCGAGAGGAACACCCGUGGCGAAGGCGAGUCCCUGGACAAUUCCUGACGCUGAGGCACGAAAGCUAGGGGAGCAAACAGGAUUAGAUACCCUGGUAGUCCUAGCCCUAAACGGUGCACGUUUGCUGUAAGAGGAAUCGACCCCUUUUGUGGCGAAGCUAACGCGUUAAACGUGCCGCCUGGGAAGUACGGCCGCAAGGUUAAAGCUCAAAGAAAUUGACGGGGGCCUGCACAAGCGGUGGAGUAUGUGGCUCAAUUCGAUCUACGCGAAGAACCUCACCUGGCCUUGACAUGUAGGUGGUAGAAGCCCGAAAGGGUGACGAUCCCGCAAGGGAAGCUUACACAGGUGCUGCAUGGCUGUCGUCAGCUCGUGUCGUGAGAUGUUGGGUUAAGUCCCGCAACGAGCGCAACCCCUGUGUCCUGUUGCCACCCCUUAAAUGGGAGCACUCUGGACAGACUGCCUCGCUUCAACGAGGAGGAAGGUGGGGAUGACGUCAAGUCAGUAUGGCCCUUACGGCCAGGGCUGCACACGUACUACAAUGCCCGGCACAAAGGGAAGCAAGACCGUCAGGUGGAGCAAAUCCCCUAAAACCGGGCCCAGUUCAGAUUGUCGUCUGCAACUCGACGGCAUGAAGCUGGAAUCGCUAGUAAUGGCGCAUCAGCUACGGCGCCGUGAAUACGUUCCCAGGCCUUGUACACACCGCCCGUCACAUCAUGAAAGCCGCUUGUACCCGAAGUCGCCCCUCAAAAGGCGCCGAAGGUAUGGGUGGUGAUUGGGAUGAAGUCGUAACAAGGUA
rnacentral:rRNA from 1 species